rnacentral:rRNA from 4 species
GGUUGACCUCGGAUCAGGUAGGAAUACCCGCUGAACUUAAGCAUAUCAAUAAGC